GUUGCUGGAAAUAAACCUCUUUAGGGAGUCAAUCAGCAGCUGUACGCUGAUCAAGCGUGCCGCCCACAGAUCAAACACGAGUGACUGUCUCCUUUUCCCUUUCGAAAGUCUUACUCCUUUCGAAAGUCUAUAGCGAGUCGGUUAAGAUAUGACCGUAGCAGCUCCGCAAGGAGGUGAUAAAACUAGUUCCGUAGGUGAACCUGCGGAAGGAU
rnacentral:rRNA from 1 species